GAUGAACGCUGGCGGCGUGCCUAAUACAUGCAAGUCGAGCGAACAGACGAGGAGCUUGCUCCUCUGACGUUAGCGGCGGACGGGAGAGUAACACGUGGAUAACCUACCUAUACGACUGGGAUAAAUUCGGGAAACCGGAGCUAAUACCGGAUAAUAUAUUGAACCGCAUUGUUCAAUAGUUAAAGACGGUUUUGCUGUCACUUAUAGAUGGAUCCGCGCAGCAUUAGCUAGUUGGUAAGGUAACGGCUUACCAAGGCAACGAUGCGUAGCCGACCUGAGAGGGUGAUCGGCCACACUGGAACUGAGACACGGUCCAGACUCCUACGGGAGGCAGCAGUAGGGAAUCUUCCGCGAUGGACGAAAGCUUGACGGAGCAACGCCGCGUGAGUGAUGAAGGUCUUCGGAUCGUAAAACUCUGUUAUUAGGGAAGAACAAAUGUGUAAGUAACUAUGCACGUCUUGACGGUACCUAAUCAGAAAGCCACGGCUAACUACGUG
rnacentral:rRNA from 1 species